GAUGAUGGUGGACAUAGCAUUCGUGAAACAAACAACAAUGAACGGGAAACGUGUAAACAACUUUGGUCGAGAAAUACGUUCACCAAAGAUUUCGAGCUUUUGCUUGUCGGUCGACGGAACAAGGCAACCACGGUGGGAUACGCCAACCACAGCAUCGGCAGAGUAAAAGGUUAACGCAGCACGGGCGUCUGUGAGGAAACGGAGAUCAAUGCUUACAUCAAUGUAUUCGCGUAUGCCAAACAAUUUGAUUUGAUGGAAGACGAGGACAAAUUUAGCUUCAGCAUAUUCUCAAGUGCGCCUCCCAUUUCACUAGAGCAGAAUUGGAGCCUUCUGAUUAAUCUUCAAAAUCCAGGCGAAUUAAGAUAAGCAUGCGUCGACUCCGCCAUAGUAGAAAAACCUGCCAUGCCGUCAAUAAUUUCAUUAGGACUCUUGGAGCAUUUGAACUUAAUGCCUGUUCGCUAUUUUGAUCGUUCGCUGUUUCGAACCCCACCCAAAAAAGUAUCAGAAUGCGAGGCCAGCUCUGCACAGUUCUACACCGGAGAAUCUUCCAGGCAGAGUCAGAUCUCUCACAACUGCGCAUUUAUUACACAUAACAAAGUACACGACGUUUAUAAAAAAAAGUUAACGGCACAAGCACAACAUUUAUGCAGUUGACGUGUUGGAAUUCGUAAGCCCCCGCUUGCUAGUCAAAAUUCUGGGAGAGUUUUGUGAAUCACCAUGACAAAUGGGCCGAGAUUGUGACAAGUGAAUUCACAAUGGAAUCAAAAAUUGACUGCAGCAUUACAGGACAAAUAAAUGAUGUUCAACUGAUGAACAAUGAGAUGUCUUCAGCUGUUAAAUUAAUGAAAUUAUGCAGAAAUGAAUAUUCGUUUUAAUUUAAUUAAUAAAUGCAUUGUAUGAUUUAUAACAUUUUAUAUUUUAUUAUUACAAAUAAAGCCUUGACAACUUUUAUAGAAAAUGAA
rnacentral:lncRNA from 1 species